GCCCCUGUAGAGCAGUCUGGAGUGCUCGUCACCCUGUCAAGGUGAAGGUCGCCGGUUCAAGUCCGGUCAGGGGCG
rnacentral:tRNA from 2 species